rnacentral:rRNA from 1 species
UACGUAUGGUGCAAGCGUUAUCCGGAUUUACUGGGCGUAAAGGGAGCGCAGGCGGCGCGCCAAGUCUGAUGUGAAACCCCGGGGCUCAACCCCGGGCAUGCAUUGGAAACUGGCGGGCUGGAGUGCCGGAGAGGUAAGCGGAAUUCCUAGUAUAGCGGUGAAAUGCGUAGAUAUUAGGAGGAACACCAGUGGCGAAGGCGGCUUACUGGACGGCAACUGACGCUGAGGCUCGAAAGCGUGGGGAGCAAACAGG